UACGUAGGGGGCGAGCGUUGUCCGGAUUCAUUGGGUUUAAAGGGAGCGUAGGUGGCCUUAUAAGUCAGUGGUGAAAUCUCUGGGCUUAACCCAGAAAUUGCCAUUGAUACUGUAGGGCUUGAGUAUAGUUGCCGUUGGCGGAAUAUGACAUGUAGUGGUGAAAUACAUAGAGAUGUCAUAGAACACCGAUUGCGAAGGCAGCUGACGAAACUAUAACUGACACUGAGGCUCGAAAGUGCGGGGAUCAAACAGG
rnacentral:rRNA from 1 species